GACGAACGCUGGCGGCGUGCUUAACACAUGCAAGUCGAACGGAAAGGCCAUGCUUUUGUUGGGUGCUCGAGUGGCGAACGGGUGUGUAACACGUGAGUAACCUGCCCUUGACUUUGGGAUAACUUCAGGAAACAGGGGCGCAUACCGCAUAGGACCUCCUGCAGCAUGGUGUUGGUUGGAGAGAUUCGGCGGUGGGGGAUGGACUCGCAGGUUAUGCGCUGGUUUGUGGGGUAGUGGCUUUCAAAGGCUUCGACGGGUAGCCGGCCUGAGAGGGUGGACGGCCACAUUGGGACUGAGAUACGGACCAGUCGCCAACGGGCGGCAGUAGGGGGGAGUAUGGCGGAAUGAGGGCGAGCCUGAUACGACAGCGCCGCGUGCGGGAUAACGGGCUACGAGUUAUAAACCGCUGUCGCCGGUGACGAAGCGUGAGUGACGGUAAUGGGUCAAGAAGCACCGGCUAACUACGUG
rnacentral:rRNA from 1 species